CAAAGUUCAGGAAUGAAUUCUCAUGCUCAUACUUCAGUAUACUAUUUACUUAGAUAUACACAUCUCAUAUGAAAGGACAUAAUAAAGCCUUGUCACCAACAAUAUCUGCAUAAACAUGGUCUAACAGUAGUCACAUGAAGUGCAAAAGUAAUACUAAUAAAUAUAAGUUACAAGAGAUGAAGAUAGACCCCUGACGUAAUACUGAAGUCUCACACUUGUUACCUCUUAUCAACGAAGGUGGGAUAGGGACUGCGUUUGCUUAAGGAUCCAGAAGGAAAGGAGAAAAAGCUGCACUGUUUAGUUACAAACUAUAAUCCAGAUAUCAGUUAUAGAAUGAAACGUGAUUGUAAGUUUUCCAUGGUUCCACCAAGAUUUAUCUACACAGAAUGUUUUUGCAUGCCCCAUUAACCCAAUAUGUAUAAAACUAUUCCACCCUGCAUUAGUUAAAG
rnacentral:misc_RNA from 1 species